GAUUUAACGCGCUUCGUCAAAUGGCC
rnacentral:piRNA from 1 species